GCCAGCCCGCUCAGAAACUUAAUGAAUUGACGGGGGCCCGCACAAGCGGUGGAGCAUGUGGUUUAAUUCGAUGAUACGCGAGGAACCUUACCUGGGCUCAAAUGUAUGUUGACGUAUUCUGAAAGGGAUACUUCUUCGGACAAUAUACAAGGUGCUGCAUGGUUGUCGUCAGCUCGUGCCGUGAGGUGUCGGGUUAAGUCCCAUAACGAGCGCAACCCCUAUCAUUAGUUGCCAUCAGGUCAAGCUGGGGACUCUAAUGAAACUGCCUACGCAAGUAGUGAGGAAGGUGGGGAUGACGUCAAAUCAGCACGGCCCUUACGUCCAGGGCUACACACGUGCUACAAUGGCCGGUACAAAGGGCAGCUACCUGGUGACAGGAUGCUAAUCUCAAAAGCCGGUCCCAGUUCGGAUUGCAGUCUGCAACUCGACUGCAUGAAGUUGGAAUCGCUAGUAAUCGUGGAUCAGCCAAGCCGCGGUGAAUACGUUCCCGGGCCUU
rnacentral:rRNA from 1 species